rnacentral:rRNA from 1 species
UACAGAGGGUGCAAGCGUUGUUCGGAAUUACUGGGCGUAAAGCGCGUGUAGGCGGUCUGGUAAGUCGGUCGUGAAAUCCCUAGGCUUAACCUAGGAACUGCGAUCGAAACUGUUAGACUUGAGUAUCGGAGGGGAUGGCGGAAUUCCUGGUGUAGAGGUGAAAUUCGUAGAUAUCAGGAGGAACACCUGUGGCGAAGGCGGCCAUCUGGAAGAUUACUGACGCUGAGACGCGAAAGCGUGGGGAGCAAACAGG